UACGUAGGUGGCAAGCGUUAUCCGGAAUUACUGGGCGUAAAGCGCACGCAGGCGGUCUUUUAAGUUUGACGUGAAAGCUCUCGGCUUAACUGGGAGAGGUCGUUGAAUACUGGGAGACUUGAGGAAAUGAGAGGGGUGUAGAAUUCCUGGUGUAGUGGUGGAAUGCGUAGAUAUCAGGAGGAAUACCGGUGGCGAAGGCGGCAUCCUGGACCGGCAUUGACGCUGAGGCGCGAAAGCCAGGGGAGCAAACGGG
rnacentral:rRNA from 1 species